AAGGUUAAACAAACAGUAAGAGACUGAGAGCAGGAGCCGGGGCUCCCGGAAGAGUGAGACAUUUACGCACAUAACGCAGAAGCAGGACAAAGUGCCCCACUUCUCCUGAGCUGUGCAGAAUAAUCCCUGGAAAUGGGUGACACUUACCAGUCCUGUCUUUGAAUAGGCCAAUUGUCUGGCACCACAGAGCUGCUGAAGCUGUUUGUAGAGGAGCUUUCACACUUGAAGAAGGAAAGAGUCUACUUCUGACUGUGCAGCUGAAGGAUAUUUUAGGAUCAUCUUUUCCCCUGAAGAGGAAAUGGAAGGCAGCACCAUCUUUUUGGAAAAAAUAAAUUGCCAAUCACCAUUAUGUCCCCAGAUUCAUGCAGACAUCAUUCUUUCAGCUCAUGACCAUAAUAUUGUUUGAUUCUUGGCAUCAAACUCAGUAAAAUACAUUUGGUGGAUUUAAGAUUUGAGACAGAUGAAUGUUGACACACCAUUAGGUGGCACUUGAUUAGAAAGCUUGCGUCUGUCUGAACUUUCCCAAGGCAGCAAUUCGACAAGAUGGAAAGGAAACUCUGACAUAAAUGGGGUGGGGAAUGGGGGUAUCCUUAGAGAUUACAGGAAGAUCCUUAAAGGCAAACACUAUCCAAGAUGCGAACGCAAUUUUUACAUUCAAGCUAACAUCAGGGAAUUUAAUGAACACUUAGCAAAUGUUGAUGGACUAUUUAAAAUCUUUUGCACAUGAUAGUUUAAAAAAUUGCUGGGGUCCAAAGAUCUCAAGCACAUUUUUAUUGGCUGUGACAGUCGUUUUAUGUUAACAAUGAGCAAAUGUUCAUGGGGCACUUAUUAUAUGCAGGGAAGGCAUAGAGUGAGCACCACUAUGGCCUCCUCCUUACCUCUGGGCCGUGUUUUGCACCAAGCUGUGUUUCUCUGAAACAGCUCUGUCCAACAAAAAUAUAAUUCCAGCCAUAAAUGUAAUUUUUAACAGCAUUUUUGAGAUACAAUUUACAUACCAUAAAGUUCACCUGUUUAAAGCAUAUGAUUCGAUGUUUUUUAGUAUAUUUAUAGAGUUGUGCAACCAUCAUCACAAUCUAAUUUUAGAACUUUUCCAUCAUCCCCAAAGGACAGCUUGUGCCCCUUUGGAGUCACCUGCCAUUCUCUCCUGCCCUCAGGAGGCCAAGGCAAACCACUAAUCUACUUUUGUCUCUAGAUUUUCCUAUUCUGGACGUUUUAUAUAAAUGGGAUCAUACAAUAUGUGGUGUUCUGUUACGGCUCUUCCACUUAGGGUAACAUUUUUGAGGUUCAUUCAUGUUGUAGCAUGUAUCAGUAUUUGAUUCCUUCUUAUGGCUGAACAUAAUAUUCUGUUUUAUGGAUAUGGCAUAUGUAAUAUUACAUGAUUAUAGUACAAUAUUAUUGUCUCUAUUCAUUAUACUAUGCAUUAGUUCUCUAUGGCUUAUUUACUACUCAUUACAAGUUUGUUCUCUUAAAUACUAUUACUCUUACUUCCCCACUCCAAUCCCCUGGUAACCACUAUUUACUGUUUUUUACAGGCUUAAAUUUUUUUAGAUCCCACAUGUAAGUGACAUCAUACAGUACUUGUCUUUGUCUGACUCACCUUGCUUAGCAUAAUGUGCUCAAGGUCCAUAUUCUUGCAAAUAGAAGGAUGUCUUCUUUUCUCAGGGCUGAGUAACAUUCCAUUAUUGUGUCCUGUGCACUUCCACAUGAAUUUUGGAAUUAGCUUUCCAAUUUUCACAAAAAAGAAAACCUGCUGGAAUUUUGACUGUAAUUGUUUUGGGACAAUUGAUAUCAUAGCAUUGCUGAGUUUCCAACCUCGGAAGAAGGGUCAAGAACAAGGAAAUGAUCAAUGCCAUUUGUGACAGUAGAUGGACCUAGAGGGUAUUAUGCUAACUGAGCCAGACUGUGAGACUAAAACGCUCAGCUCAUGGUGAAUGGAGCAGAUGCCAAAUUCAGUGAGAUCAGCUUACAAUGGAAACACGUCUAUUAGAAGCCUCAUAAGUAACAUCUGUUUUCCUCAUGCCUUCUGGUAUGAUCUUUGUGAGAAAAAGAAAAGCUUAUGUUUAUGAAAUAUUUUGGUGAAGCGUAAGUACCAGGCAUCCUCUUUCUAAGAGAAGAGCUAGCUGAUGAGUGAAGUGAAGAACUCUGAAAAGACAUCUGCUUUGACAAGUGGAAAACCUGGAUGUGGAGGAAAGCUAAGACCUCUGCCCCAGGUGAUAUCAAUUUUUCAAUAAUCUAUUUUUAAAAGCCAACUGAGAUAAACUACAGAUGUUACAUAAUCAAUUAUAAUUGGAACCUUCAUAAAGUAGUUGAUGUGAAUCUUAAAAGUUGUAUAAAAUGGUUUAAAUAAACAAAGGGAAUUUAUAUUUAAAGAAUCAUAGGGAAUUCUUUCAUAGUAUAAAUAAACAUUUCAAGAUAAUUUUUUAUUGUAUAAAAUAUAACCUAUUUCCCACCAAAGAAUAACAUAACCUAAAACUUGUCAUUUUAACCAUUUUUAUUAGAAUUCAUGUAAUACAUAACAUUAAGACAUAAUACAAUACAGCACAAUUCACAGCAUUAAGAACAUUUUGCAGUGCUGUGUAAUCAUCACCUCUCUUGACUUCCAGAAGUUUUCAUUACUUCCACAGAAACUAUACCUAUUAAACAGUAACUCUCCAUUCCCAACCCUACUCCUGACCUCUGGUAACUGCUAUUCUACUUUCUGACUCUGAAUUUGCCUAUUCUAGCUACUGAGUAGCUAGAACACAACAUUUGUCCUGUGGUGUGUCUGGCUUAUUUCACAUUACAUAAUGUUUCCCUAUACAAUUUUUUAAGUUUAGAUUUUUAAUUAUUAGCUGGCUUAAAGUGCAUUUUUAAAAAACCUUAUUUGGAAAUGAUUUUCAAUUCAGAGAAAAAUUGCAAGAAUAAAAAUAAUGUGAAAAUCACCCAUAUGUCCUUUGUCCAGAUGCAUUUUUUAUUUACACUUUGCUCCUUUUAUGCAUAAUCUUACUUUAUACAACUUUUUCCCUGAACUGUUUGAAAGUAAGUUUUACUUUCUUACCUCUGAGUUACUUUAAAUCAGUGUGUCUUUCCUAAUAAGGCUUUUCUCAUACAUAACUGCAGUCAUUAACUUCAGUACACUGUUAGAAUACUGUUAUCUAACCUACUGUCCAUAUUCCAGUUUUUUGUUUUUUUUUUGAGAGGGCAUCUCUCAUAUUUAUUGAUCAUAUGGUUGUAAACAACAAUAAAAUUCAGUAUAGGGGGGUCAAUG